UUAUACUCUUAUGAGUAUUAGGUCUUUCGUACUCAUAAGUUAUUUUCGGAUGAUGGAGCUUUCGAAUCGACGUCCACUCCGUUAAAUAUGAUCUAGAGUAUUUGAAAUUUUUAAGGAAUAAUUUCGUAAUUUUUCGAAAUAAAUAAAAUCCAUCAAGCGGGCAUAAAAUAAAUGGUUAAAAUCGAACAACAUCCUAAAAAUAGAUGAUUGGAUCCUUCAAUUUAAGAUCGGAGUAUUGAUCUUAUCUAAGGUAGUGAAUAGAAUUUUUUAUCAAAAAAUUCAACCUAUUCCGAUUCUUUUGCACUGUUAAACUAGCAAUAUCCCAUACCAGCGCGUUAAAAAUUGUCAAUUUUGUGAGCUUUUGAUCGUAAGGUAACUGAUAUCGAAAUUAUAAAAUUUGAAUUCUAGAAGUUUUAAAUUCUCUAAAACUGUUUAAUAGUAUGGAUCGUCGAUUCAGAAGCUUUAUCAUCAAAACGACUUAUGAGUACGAAGGCGAUCAUACUCUUAAGGAGUAUAGUAACCAAACUCUUCUCUCUAUAUAUAUGUUACUAUUGAUAAGUAAUAUCGAGUUUGUCGACCCGUUAGAUAAAAGAUGUGCGGUUAGGAUACUAGUGGCUAGUUAGAUUGAGUGGAUGGUUGGUUAAAUGGUAUAAUCUAAGGAUGGAAUAACAAAGGAUAAAUCUAACGGCAGAUAUAUCAAGAGAGUAGCCGGACUCAUAUUAUACAUAAAAACACAUAUUUUAAAUUUCAAUAUGUAGGUGGACCUAUUUCAAAAUUAUUCUUUUUUCGUAUGCAAAAUAAAUAAUAUAGUGAAAUAAUUUUAGUUGAUAUAUAUUAUAUAUAUAUAUAUUAUUAUAGGAGACGAGAGAGAGAGAAAGAGAGUCCGGUUACUAUACUAUCGAUAUUAUCAAGCCCUUGAUGCUAUUGAGUUUUCUACCAUUAGAUUUUACCCUUUGAUCAUUUCCACCCGUUAGAUUAUACUAUUAACCAACCACCCACUCAACCUCGGGACCACUAUCAAUUUAAUCGGGGACCACUAUCAUCCUACUGCACAUCCUUUCAUCCAACGGCCGAAAAACUCAAAUAGUACCAAGGGCUUGGUACUAUUGAAGUAUAGUAGCAUAUAUAUAUAUAUUAUAUAUAUAUAUAUAUAUAAUAGGCUGGAAUACUGCUCAAUAGCACCAAAUUAUUGGUGCUAUUUAGUUUUUAGCCAAUUGGAUUAAGAAAUGUGCGGUUAGGAUGAUGUGAGCCCUUUAGGAUAGAGUGGAGUAGUUAGUUGAAUAGUAUAAUCUAACGGAUAAAAAUAAUUAGAGUUAAUCUAACGGCAGAAAACUUAGAAGCAUCAAGCUGUUGAUGCUAUCAAUAGCAUAGCAAGCGGACUUCAUAUAUAUAUAUAUAUAUAUAAUAUAUAUAUAUAGAGAGAGAGAGAGAGAGAGAGAUGAGAGAGAGGAGAACUAGCGGAAUACUAUCAAUAGCACCAAACUAUUGGUGCUAUUGAUUUUUUAGCCCUUGGAUUGAGAAAUGGGUAUUAGGAUGAUGUGGGCCCCCUAGGGUUAAGUGAAUGGUUAGUUGAAUAGUAUAAUCUAACGGGGUAAAAUAAUCAUAUGGUUAAAUCUAACGGUGGAAAACUCGAUAGCACAAAAUCUUUGGUGCUUACGAUAGUACCUCAGCCGGACUCUAUAUAUAUAUAUAUAUAUAAUAUAUAUAUAUAUGAGCUACAUGUUUCAUUAGAUAAACUGGUAUUAUAAUUUCAAUUUGAUUUUUUUUUUUNNNNNNNNNNNNNNNNNNNNNNNNNUAUAUAUAUAUAUAUAUAUAUAUAUAUAUAUAUAUAUAUAUAGUGGAGCUAUUAUACUCUUAUGAGUAUUAGGUCUUUCGUACUCAUAAGUUAUUUUCGAUGAUGGAGCUUUCGAAUCGACGAUCCACUCCGUUAAAUAUGAUCUAGAGUAUUUGAAAUUUUUAAGGAAUAAAUUUCGUAAUUUUUCGAAAUCAUAAUAAAAUCCAUCAAGCCGGCAUAAAAUAAAUGGUUAAAAUCGAACAACAUCCUAAAAAUAGAUGAUUGGAUCCUUCAAUUUAAGAUCGGAGUUAUUGAUCUUUAUCUAGGUAGUGAAUAGAAUUUUUUAUCAAAAAUUCAACCUAUUCCGAUUCUUUUGCACUGUUAAACUAGCAAGUAUCCCAUACCAGCCGUUAAAAAUUGUCAAUUUUGUGAGCUUUUGAUCGUAAGGUAACUGAUAUCGAAAAAUUAUAAAAUUUGAAUUCUAGAAGUUUUAAAUUCUCUAAAAACUGUUUAAUAGUAUGGAUCGUCGAUUCAGAAGCUUUAUCAUCAAAAACGACUUAUGAGUACGAAGGCGAUCAUACUCUUAAGAGUAUAGUAACCAAACUCUCUCUCUCUAUAUAUAUGUUACUAUUGAUAAGUAAUAUCGAGUUUUCGACCGUUAGAUAAAAAGAUGUGCGGUUAGGAUACUAGUGGUCUGCUUAGAUUGAGUGGAUGGUU
rnacentral:lncRNA from 1 species